UACGUAGGUGGCAAGCGUUGCUCGGAUUUACUGGGUGUAAAGAGUUCGUAGGCUGUUUUGUAAGCCCGGCUUGAAAUACUAUGGCUCAACCAUAGUUCGCGGUCGGCUACUGCAGAACUUGAGGAUGACAGAGGCAAGCGGAAUUCCCGGUGUAGGGGUGAAAUCUGUAGAUAUCGGGAGGAACACCAGUGGCGUAGGCGGCUUGCUGGGUCAUUUCUGACGCUGAGGAACGAAAGCUAGGGGAGCAAACAGGAUUAGAUACCCUGGUAGUCCUAGCUGUAAACGAUGGGCACUAGGUGUCGGUUUCCUUGAGGAAUCGGUGCCGCAGACUAACGCGUUAAGUGCCCCACCUGAGGAGUACGGUCGCAAGAUUGAAACUCAAAGGAAUUGACGGGGGCCAGCACAAGCGGUGGAACAUGUGGUUUAAUUCGAUGCUACUCGAAGAACCUUACCCAGGCUUGACAUGUGGGAAGUACGAACCUGAAAGGGUUAGGACUCGUAACCAGUCGAGAGCCCUCACAGGAGCUGCAUGGCUGUCGUCAGCUCGUGCCGUGAGGUGUUGGCUUAAGUGCCAAAGCGAGCGCAACCAUUGCUGCUAGUUGCCAGCGGAUCUUCGGAUGCCGGGCACUCUAGUGGGACUGCCAGCGAUGAGCUGGAGGAAGGUGGUGAUGACGUCAAGUCAGUAUGGCCCUUAUGCCUGGGGCGACACACGUGUUACAAUGGGGUGCACAAUGCGCUGCAAACUCGCGAGAGCAAGCUAAUCGCUCAAAGCACUCCUCAGUUCGGAUUGUAGGCUGCAAUUCGCCUACAUGAAGCUGGAAUCGCUAGUAAUGGCGGGUCAGAAUUCCGCCGUGAAUACGUUCCCUGGCCU
rnacentral:rRNA from 1 species